rnacentral:rRNA from 1 species
GACGAACCGUGCGAACGUUAUUCGGAAUCACUGGGCUUAAAGCGCGUGUAGGCGGCCCGGAGCGUCAGCGGCUGAAAUCCCCCGGCCCAACCGGGGAACGGGCCCUGAAACGUCCGGGCUGGAGGGGGGUAGGGGGAACGGGAACUCACGGUGGAGCGGUGAAAUGCGUUGAGAUCGUGGGGAACGCCCGUGGCGAAAGCGCGUUCCUGGACCCCACCUGACGCUGAGACGCGAAAGCCAGGGGAGCGAACGGG